rnacentral:lncRNA from 13 species
GGGGAAGUACCCUGACACUGAUGGCUUGUGAAGUUUACUCUCGGAUGCUAGUGAAUUAGGUUGUCAUGACGAAUAAUGCACUCCUUACAGUUGGUUGUGACUGUGGCCAACACCGGGCUGAAUGAAGAGGAUGGGAGAACAGGGUAAAGGCACAUUCUGCAAAAAAGGUCCAUAUCAAUCAUUUUUGUUAUUGCCUUCAAUGAUUCAAAACAAGGUGUCGUNNCCUUCAAUGAUUCAAAACAAGGUGUCGUGUCCUUCAAUGAUUCAAAACAAGGUGUCGUGUCCUUCAAUGAUUCAAACUCAUUCUCAAAACAAGGUGUCAUGUCCUUCAUGUCCUUGUUGAUACAUUAGUUAUUUUCUGUCUCCAAGCACCCAUCCCACAGAGUCCUCAUCCCAUAGAGCAGGGUUUCCCUAACUCGGUCCUGGGACCCCACAUGGGUGCACGUUUUGUUUUUUGCCCUAGCACUAUACAGCCAGUGGGGGCCCCAGGACCGAGCUUGGGAAGCCCUGUCAGAGUCCCCAUCCCAUAGAGCAGCUGCCACGCAUAAGGACGUGCUUUUUAAUUCAUUUAGGCCUACAUACAUUUGCCUUUGGGAAGAACGGCUGGCCUACUGGAUGUGUGCAACCUUGGCCCAGAUAAUGGCACUGAAUACCAUGGGCUUAAAUGAAGAGGGAAGCUGUGAAUGUAGCUGGAAACUACAGCUGUCUGUGUCUGGCUCGCUAGCUGGCUGCCCGUGAAGGUAGCUGGAAACUACAGCUGUUUGGGCCUGACUGGCAGGCUGGUGGCCUGUAAAGAAUGUCCUGAGGUGCCUAAAUGGCCCUUUUGAGCAGGAAAUAAAGAGCUGACUCAUGCUAAUGUGUUCAUCUGAGGCACAGGUCUCAUAUACAAGUCCCAUAAGUCCCUUCUCAGUAUGAUGAGGAAUCUGCAUUCGGAUAUGUGUUUGAUGUAUUAUAUUUGAUAUGUUUGAUAUACAGUGAUAUGUUUGAUAUAUUUGUUUAUAUUAUGUUUGAUAUGUUUGAUAUGUUUAUAUUAUGUUUGAUAUGUUUGAUAUGUUUAUAUUAUGUUUGAUAUAUUUGAUAUGUUUAUAUUAUGUUUGAUAUGUUUGAUAUGUUUAUAUUAUGUUUGAUAUGUUUAUUAUGUUUGAUAUGUUUGAUAUGUUUAUAUUAUGUUUGAUAUGUUUAUAUUAUGUUUGAUAUGUUUAUAUUAUGUUUGAUAUGUUUAUAUUAUGUUUGAUAUGUUUAUUAUGUUUGAUAUGUUUGAUAUGUUU